UCUCUCUCUCUCACUCUGUCUCUCUCACUUUCUCUCAUUUGUCAUUUGGUACAGAAAGUCUAAAGUCAGGAUGGAGAAUAGAAUGUAGCCUUUCCUCAGUAAACGGCAAGAGCUACAUUGUUGAGAGAAGGAGGAUAGUGAGUGAGCUUCCAUGCCUUAUAAGCACAUAAUCAUAGUAGCAGCAAAAUUAGGCCUGGGACAAGUUCAUGCUCAAAGAGAGCAUCCUUUCAAGGCUGGGCCUGACUUCCUGGAUCUUGUCAUCUAAGCCUGUGGCCAUAGGUGCUCGGUGUGCACCUCGAAGAGACACACGGCUAGGAAUAAACAGCAAAUCGCUCUAUUACGAGUGUCAGAAUAGAGGGUAGGCGAUUGCCCAGAUUACCUGAACAACAAGACUUCAAAACGAAACAAAACUAAACAAAACAAAACGGAACCAAUCGAAACGAAACGAAACGAAACACAAGGUGCACAACAGAUGAUGAUCGGUCUCCCGCUAAAUACAAAGUGUCACCAGUCAAGCACAGAAAAAACACUUGCUAACCUAGGCUCCAUUGCCUUAAACUUUGUUCAUCAGUUAAGACAAGAGUUAAGUCCAUCUAGUGGAGAGAAAGAAGGAUGGGAAAAGUUUCUUAGGCGUGAAUGUCAAAACAAAAUUAUGUCAUCAAGGCUCCUGGUGUAGUUUCCUUUUGUGGGAUGAUUUUAAUCUGGUUUUGGAAGAAUAUGUUUCUGGGGUGAUGGCUUUUAGAGAAUAUGUGACCUGUGGCUACCAGGCUUGGCCAUUCUACCAACUACCUGUAGCUGAUGUGACAAUGGUUCAAGGCAAGGCAGCCA
rnacentral:lncRNA from 1 species